rnacentral:tRNA from 1 species
AUCGAAACAGCUCAGUUGGGAGAGCAUGAGGCUAUAAAUUGAAAUGUCCCUGGUUCGAUCCCGGAAUUCGGCA